rfam:Candidatus Altiarchaeum sp. CG2_30_32_3053 cg_3.0_sub100_scaffold_392_c, whole genome shotgun sequence.
GCCUCGAUAGCUCAGCUGGUAGAGCGUCCGACUGUUAAUCGGCAGGUCGCAGGUUCAAGUCCUGUUCGAGGCG